rnacentral:rRNA from 1 species
UGGGGAAUAUUGGACAAUGGGCGCAAGCCUGAUCCAGCCAUGCCGCGUGUGUGAAGAAGGCCUUAUGGUUGUAAAGCACUUUAAGCGAGGAGGAGGCUACUUUAGUUAAUACCUAGAGAUAGUGGACGUUACUCGCAGAAUAAGCACCGGCUAACUCUGUGCCAGCAGCCGCGGUAACACAGAGGGUGCAAGCGUUAAUCGGAUUUACUGGGCGUAAAGCGCGCGUAGGCGGCUAAUUAAGUCAAAUGUGAAAUCCCCGAGCUUAACUUGGGAAUUGCAUUCGAUACUGGUUAGCUAGAGUGUGGGAGAGGAUGGUAGAAUUCCAGGUGUAGCGGUGAAAUGCGUAGAGAUCUGGAGGAAUACCGAUGGCGAAGGCAGCCAUCUGGCCUAACACUGACGCUGAGGUGCGAAAGCAUGGGGAGCAAACAGG